UCAGAUUUGCAAUCCAUAGGGAUGCCUUAUUUUUUUCCUAAGUCACUCAUUUUCGAGUUUUCAACUUAGUAGACUCUCUUUAUUUUUCUUUUGAUUUCUCGUUCCUUUUUCUUUGCUUGGAACAAAUUGCGUGACAUUUACUUGUUUGAUUUGAAGGGGUUCUGACUGCCUCGUUCCUCUGCUGGUGAGGGACAAUCGUUACAGAUUUUUGGUUUCUGACCUCUUGUGAGGGAUAAGGCAUGAUUG
rnacentral:lncRNA from 1 species